rnacentral:rRNA from 1 species
UACGGAGGAUGCAAGCGUUAUCCGGAUUCAUUGGGUUUAAAGGGUGCGUAGGCUGGCUAUUAAGUCAGUGGUGAAAUCCUGCAGCUUAACUGCAGAACUGCCGUUGAUACUGAUAGUCUUGAGUUUGGUUAAGGUAGGCGGAAUGUGUAAUGUAGCGGUGAAAUGCUUAGAUAUUACACAGAACACCAAUUGCGUAGGCAGCUUACUGAGCCGACACUGACGCUGAGGCACGAAAGCGUGGGGAUCAAACA